AGAGAAAUAGCUUAAUGGUAGAGCACAUGCCUAGCAUGCAUGAGGUCCUGGGUUCAAUCCCUAGUACCUCCA
rnacentral:tRNA from 1 species